UCUCGAUUGGUCUAGUGGUAAGGAUACCUGCUUGUCAUCAUCUGACAAUUCGCAGGUGGCCGGGGUUCGAUUCCCCGAUCGAGAG
rnacentral:tRNA from 1 species